UAGAGGCUUAACACAUGCAAGUCGAGGGGCAGCAUGGUCUUAGCUUGCUAAGGCCGAUGGCGACCGGCGCACGGGUGAGUAACACGUAUCCAACCUGCCGUCUACUCUUGGACAGCCUUCUGAAAGGAAGAUUAAUACAAGAUGGCAUCAUGAGUCCACAUGUUCACAUGAUUAAAGGUAUUCCGGUAGACGAUGGGGAUGCGUUCCAUUAGAUAGUAGGCGGGGUAACGGCCCACCUAGUCUUCGAUGGAUAGGGGUUCUGAGAGGAAGGUCCCCCACAUUGGAACUGAGACACGGUCCAAACUCCUACGGGAGGCAGCAGUGAGGAAUAUUGGUCAAUGGGCGAGAGCCUGAACCAGCCAAGUAGCGUGAAGGAUGACUGCCCUAUGGGUUGUAAACUUCUUUUAUAAAGGAAUAAAGUCGGGUAUGCAUACCCGUUUGCAUGUACUUUAUGAAUAAGGAUCGGCUAACUCCGUGCCAGCAGCCGCGGUAAUACGGAGGAUCCGAGCGUUAUCCGGAUUUAUUGGGUUUAAAGGGAGCGUAGAUGGAUGUUUAAGUCAGUUGUGAAAGUUUGCGGCUCAACCGUAAAAUUGCAGUUGAUACUGGAUAUCUUGAGUGCAGUUGAGGCAGGCGGAAUUCGUGGUGUAGCGGUGAAAUGCUUAGAUAUCACGAAGAACUCCGAUUGCGAAGGCAGCCUGCUAAGCUGCAACUGACAUUGAGGCUCGAAAGUGUGGGUAUCAAACAGGAUUAGAUACCCUGGUAGUCCACACGGUAAACGAUGAAUACUCGCUGUUUGCGAUAUACUGCAAGCGGCCAAGCGAAAGCGUUAAGUAUUCCACCUGGGGAGUACGCCGGCAACGGUGAAACUCAAAGGAAUUGACGGGGGCCCGCACAAGCGGAGGAACAUGUGGUUUAAUUCGAUGAUACGCGAGGAACCUUACCCGGGCUUAAAUUGCAGAUGAAUUACGGUGAAAGCCGUAAGCCGCAAGGCAUCUGUGAAGGUGCUGCAUGGUUGUCGUCAGCUCGUGCCGUGAGGUGUCGGCUUAAGUGCCAUAACGAGCGCAACCCUUGUUGUCAGUUACUAACAGGUUCUGCUGAGGACUCUGACAAGACUGCCAUCGUAAGAUGUGAGGAAGGUGGGGAUGACGUCAAAUCAGCACGGCCCUUACGUCCGGGGCUACACACGUGUUACAAUGGGGGGUACAGAGGGCCGCUACCACGCGAGUGGAUGCCAAUCCCAAAAACCUCUCUCAGUUCGGACUGGAGUCUGCAACCCGACUCCACGAAGCUGGAUUCGCUAGUAAUCGCGCAUCAGCCACGGCGCGGUGAAUACGUUCCCGGGCCUUGUACACACCGCCCGUCAAGCCAUGGGAGCCGGGGGUACCUGAAGUGCGUAACCGCGAGGAGCGCCCUAGGGUAAAACUGGUGACUGGGG
rnacentral:rRNA from 1 species